ensembl:lncRNA
ACGUUCUAGCUAAAUGUGGGGAGAUUGUUGGCACUUCAAACACAGCCGUUAAAUGAUGGAGAGCUGAGAGCAAAGUGCACAAGGACAGCAGGAUGAGUUGCUAGUUCAACAUGUUCCAUCUGGUUGAAUUCUGCCUCCAAGAUGAUCAACUGUGUGUUGUUAUAGUUAUGUUCGCUGGUGGGCGAGACUGCAGUGCGCGGUAAGAGGACAAUUGUAAACGUGAAGAAAAACGCUUAGGAAAUAUGUCAAGAGGGACGAGCGCACAUAAUUAAUAACCAGAGUAUUUAUUGCCUCUGUUUGCAACACUAGUGGUGCAGUUGGUGAGGAUGCUCUCGAUGAAGUUCACCAGGAUCUGAGGGAACAGAUGAGCCUUCUUCAGUCUCCUCAGGAAGAAGUGGUGAGCCGAGGUGUUGAGGGUCCAAGAGAGGUCCUCCAAGAUGUGGGCACCCAGGAACUCGCUCAACCUCCGUCCCGUUGAUGGAGAUGGGGGGUGUGCGCCAUCUUUGGUUUUACUGAAGUCCACAAUGAGCUCCUUGGUCUACUUGGUGUUGAGUGCCAGAUUGUGGUUGGCGCACCACUCAGCCAAGUGCUGGACCUCUUUCCUGUAGGCCGACUCAUCGUUGUUGCUGAUGAGGCCGUUGUGUCAUCUGCAAACUUGACAAGGUUGUUAGAACUAUGUACAGGUCUGCGGUCCCAGGUUAAGAGGGAGUAGAGGAGGGGGCUCAGCACACAGCCCUGUGGGACACUCGUGUUCAGGAUGAGGGUUGAGGAGGUGUGGUUCUCUAACAGAUUGGGGUCUGUUGGUUAUGAAGUCCAGUAUCCAGUUACUGAGAGAGGUGUUGAUGCCCAGAUCUUUGAGUUUGGUGAUAAGUUUGGAGGGGAUGAUGGUGUGGAGUGCUGAACUGAAAUCUAUGAGCAACAAGGGAGGAGUGAAGUGCCGUGGAGAUGGCGAACUGUAGGGGGUCCAGUGUUGGUGGCAAGCAGGAUUUGAGGUGAGCCAUGACCAGCCUCUCGAAGCACUUCAUGAUGGUGGGGGUGAGUGCGAGUCAUUGAGGCUUGUUGCUUUGGAGUGUUUCAGCACCGGCACGAUGGAGGUGGUUUUAAAGCAGGUGGGGACAGCUGCAAGGCCGUCUCUAUUUUAAUCAUCUGUGAUCUGCUUCAAAUAAUAUGAAACACACUGAGAGUUGAAUGUGUUAUUAGCGACUGUGGGUCAGAGCUGAGAAUUGGCGGUUAUGCAUGGUAUGAAUGAUAACAUGUAGUGCAUUGAGUGGUAGAAAAGACAUACAAGAUAGGAGGUACAAGUACACUCGGUUCAUAGGUAUAGUGUUUUGUGUAUGUUGAGGUCCUUGUCAUUGGUAGGCUAUAUAAGGAUGCCAAAUCAUGUGCUGUCGCUGCCAGAACCUGUGUGUCAAGCAUCUUUUUCCACCCACUAGAUGGCCAUCCUAACUGAGUGGUUUGAUGAAGCUUUAUCACAGUGGGGAGUUUGAAAUGAUUUUAGGUACCAAGAAGAAUGACUGUCAGGAAGUACAAGAAGUCAAGGCAGAGGAACUGUAAAGUCUAAUAAAGAAAAGAAUAAAUUCUCACCCGUUCUCAAGCUGCCAGACACUGGCAAAUGAAAAUGUACUUUUCCCCGUCAAGAACAAAGGUGGAAGAGCAUGCAUUAUCAGUUUUAGCCGAUACAGUCUCAGGUAUAUGAUGAAAACAAAGGUUAGACACACCACCUUUUGGCCGAGACAGCAAUUUCAAGUAAGUAAGUCCACUGGGGGUGAGCUGGGCUCUCGUAAGGCUCAAGGUAACAAGCAAAGUUUUGUCAAGCAGAACGCAGUUUCCAUAUACUAACACUAGAAAAUCAUACCUGAUGAAAUCACUCACUUAAGAUCUUCUACAAGGAAUGUGUAAUGUUACCGGUGUAAAGAGGUAGGACAGUACUCUUAUCCACUUAAAAACCAAACUAAGCAAUCUCUUUUUUUGUUCAGUCCAUGAGCCAGCUACACAACAGCUACAGACACAUGGGAGUGGGAGACACAUAAAGAUGAUGAUUUAUAUUUUGACUCAGCCGGUGUAGCUGCGUUCCUUCGGUGACAUAAAUUUCUAAGCCGUAAUUGAGCUGCAGACACUGAUUUCAAUUCUUGAUGCGAAUGACAGGAGAUCCUAAGCUUUUUUCGUUUGGUGUUUAUUUCAUGCAUUAAAAGCGCUAACUAA